rnacentral:rRNA from 1 species
GACGAACGCUGGCGGCGUGCUUAACACAUGCAAGUCGAACGAAGAGCGAUGGAAGCUUGCUUCUAUCAAUCUUAGUGGCGAACGGGUGAGUCACGCGUAAUCAACCUGCCCUUCAGAGGGGGACAACAGUUGGAAACGACUGCUAAUACCGCAUACGAUCUAAUCUCGGCAUCGAGGAUAGAUGAAAGGUGGCCUCUACAUGUAAGCUAUCACUGAAGGAGGGGAUUGCGUCUGAUUAGCUAGUUGGAGGGGUAACGGCCCACCAAGGCGAUGAUCAGUGGCCGGUCGGAGAGGAUGAGCGGCCACAUUGGGACGGAGACACGGCCCAGACUCCUACGGGAGGCAGCAGUGGGGAAUCUGCCGCAAUGGACGAAAGUCUGACGGAGCAACGCCGCGUGAGUGAUGACGGCCUUCGGGUUGUAAAGCUCUGUUAAUCGGGACGAAAGGCCUUCUUGCGAAUAGUGAGAAGGAUUGACGGUACCGGAAUAGAAAGCCACGGCUAACUACGUG